rnacentral:rRNA from 1 species
UACGGAGGGGGCAAGCGUUGUUCGGAAUUACUGGGCGUAAAGGGCGCGCAGGCGGCUGCUCAAGUCAGGCGUGAAAGGCCUGGGCUCAACCCGGGAAUUGCGCUUGAGACUGGGCUGGCUUGAGUGCGGGAGAGGAUGGUGGAAUUCCCAGUGUAGAGGUGAAAUUCGUAAAUAUUGGGAAGAACACCGGUGGCGAAGGCGGCCAUCUGGACCGCAACUGACGCUGAGGCGCGAAAGCGUGGGGAGCGAACAGG